rnacentral:tRNA from 1 species
GCCGGUGUAGCUCAGUGGUAGAGCAUUCGAUUCGUAAUCGAAUGGUCAUCGGUUCAAAUCCGAUCACCGGCUCCA